CACACACACCCGGCGCGCACAGACACACGCUUCCUCCCUCCGCGCUCUACCCCUCGCCCGCCCGCCGCGCACGCAGCCGGCCCCGGCUCCCCGCUCCCCGCGCCCCGCGCCCCGCGCCCAGCGCUCGGCGCCCCGCGCCCCGCCACCGCCGCCGCCGCCGCCGCCGAGCAAAGCCAGGCUGGGCUUGGAGCUCCUCAUGGAGAAAGUGGCAGGGGAGAUGGAGAUCGAGCGCAGGGAGCGGAGCGAGGAGCUGUCCGAGGCGGAGAGGAAGGCGGUGCAGGCUACGUGGGCCCGGCUCUAUGCCCACUGCGAGGACGUGGGGGUGGCCAUCCUGGUGAGGUUCUUUGUGAACUUCCCCUCAGCCAAGCAAUACUUCAGCCAGUUCAAGCACAUGGAGGAUCCCCUGGAGAUGGAGCGGAGCCCCCAGCUGCGGAAGCACGCCUGCAGGGUCAUGGGAGCCCUCAACACUGUGGUGGAGAACCUGCACGACCCCGACAAGGUGUCCUCUGUGCUUGCCCUCGUGGGGAAGGCCCACGCCCUCAAACACAAGGUGGAGCCCGUGUACUUCAAGAUCCUCUCUGGGGUCAUUCUGGAGGUGAUCGCCGAGGAAUUUGCCAAUGACUUCCCACCUGAGACGCAGAGAGCCUGGGCCAAGCUGCGUGGCCUCAUCUACAGCCACGUGACCGCUGCCUACAAGGAAGUGGGCUGGGUGCAGCAGGUCCCCAACGCCACCACAGAAAAAGAUCCAGAGUUCCCAUGGGCCAACAGACUUACCUGAGAUCACGGCAGGUUCGGAGCAGGACACAGACUGGAACUUGGCUCUCACAGUUGCUUUCAACCACACUGUGCCCGGUCUCCUGGCAGGAACCCACCAGCCACACUGCCCUCUUCGGGGCCGUAGGACCCCUCCCUCCACCCCCCUCCCUGGCAGCACCUUGAGCAGAAGGCCGAGUUCUGAAGACCCUCCUUGACAACCAAGGAAGCUGGAGGAAUCCCUGACUCGACUUCCCCGAAGGAGGCCUCUGCGGCAGCCACAGCCCCCCCCGGAGCUGCUGGGAGGCAGCGCUGGCUGCCUGGAUGCUGACCCCAGUGUGGUGGGCGGGUGGGGGACCCUUCCUCCUCGCAGAGCGGGGCCCACUCUUCUUAGCUUUUCUACUCACUGUUAGAGAGAGACCUAGCUGUGCGGCUGGCGGGGCUCGGGACAGGUCUAGGAGUCCCUUGGGGAAUAAACCAGCCCCAUUUCUAUCAGCCCGGACGGCACGCAGGUCUCCACAUCACCAUCUAGAGUAUCACGCACACAUCUACCAUAAAUACAGAUAUAUUCUAUAUAUGAGCUAUAUAUAAAUAUAUAUAUAUACAUAUAUAUACACGCGUACAUAUCUAGAAUGUGUAUCUGCGGGGCCCAGAAGCCUCAGUUCUGCCCACCUGUGAGUGGGGCAAGGAGGAGUUCCCGUUGUGCAGAGAACAGAGUGUUCUGGCAGAAAGGCAGUCCCACAGCGGUGCAGAGGACCUGGGCCUGGAGGGGCAGGGCUGGGGCAACCUGGCUUGGCAGCAAAGCCCAGCCCCUUCUCAGACCAGCUCCCCACAUUCCUGCAUUCCACUUCCAGGCAGAAAGGAAGGGGCUCCCCCUACUCCCCGAGAGGAACUGACUCACCAAUUGCCCGAGAAUGGGCAGGGGCAGAGUGAAGUUCUGGACAGACUGACCGCACUGGGGGAAGGGCCUCAGUCCAGAAACUUGCACUGCCAGCUCCACCUGCCUUGGCCACCAGAGCAGCCCCAGGGGAUCCGGGCUGCUGGGCAGCAGGUCGGUGGGACCACGUCCCUGGGUCUCACCCUCAGUUCUGAGGGCUGAGGGCCUUCCCCACCCCAUCCUCCUCCUGGCCAGCGGUUGGCCCUGUCUAUUCAUCUACGUCAGCCUUGUCGGGGGAGGGGGACCCCCCCCAUGUGUGCCCCUUGGUCACAUGUAUUGUCUUCAAGGAUGUUUUGCUGCUGUGGCUACUAUGUCUGUGUCCCCUCCUAUCCCAUCUUCAGGCCGUCAUCUGUGUAACUGCCUGUCUUCCUUUUCUAGUUACUGAUGUUUGUAACCAGACCCAGCUGUGUCAUUAAACAGACCCAUUCUUGCUGUA